GCCGGGCACAGUGGCGCACGCCUGUAAUCCCAGUGCCUUGGGAGGCUGAGGCAGGAGAAUCAUGAGUUCAAAGCCAGCCUCAGCAAAAAGAAAUUUUCACUAGUAAUGCAAUGAAACCCUGUCUCUA
rnacentral:sRNA from 1 species